rnacentral:rRNA from 1 species
CCCAGACUCCUACGGGAGGCAGCAGUGGGGAAUAUUGCACAAUGGGGGGAACCCUGAUGCAGCGACGCCGCGUGGGUGAAGGAGCGUUUCGGCGCGUAAAGCCCUCUCGGCAGGGAAGAAGGAGGACGGUACCUGACUAAGAAGCCCCGGCUAACUACGUGCCAGCAGCCGCGGUAAUACGUAGGGGGCAAGCGUUAUCCGGAUUUACUGGGUGUAAAGGGGGCGCAGACGGCAGCGCAAGCCAGGAGUGAAAGCCCGGGGCCCAACCCCGGGACUGCUCUUGGAACUGCGCGGCUGGAGUGCAGGAGGGGCAGGCGGAAUUCCUGGUGUAGCGGUGAAAUGCGUAGAUAUCAGGAGGAACACCGGUGGCGAAGGCGGCCUGCUGGACUGCGACUGACGUUGAGGCCCGAAAGCGUGGGGAGCAAACAGGAUUAGAUACCCCAGUACG